GGCGCAUUCGUCUAGGGGUCUAGGACGCCGCCCUCUCACGGCGGAAACACGGGUUCGAAUCCCGUAUGCGCUA
rnacentral:tRNA from 1 species